rnacentral:rRNA from 1 species
AUGCAAGUCACGGGGGCCCAGCAAUGGGUAACCGGCGAACGGGUGCGUAACACGUGAGCAACCUACCGAAAUGAGGGGGAUAGCCUGCCUAACGGCUGGGUAAUACCGCAUACGCUCGAGGAGAGGCAUUUCAUCUCGAGGAAACCUCCGGGGCAUUUCGAGGGGCUCGCGGCCUAUCAGCUAGUUGGUGAGGUAACGGCUCACCAAGGCGACGACGGGUAGCUGGUCUGAGAGGAUGGCCAGCCACAUUGGGACUGAGAUACGGCCCAGACUCCUACGGGAGGCAGCAGUGGGGAAUCUUGCGCAAUGGCCUAACGGCUGACGCAGCGACGCCGCGUGAGGGAUGACGCUCUUCGGAGUGUAAACCUCUUUUGCCUGAGACGAAUUGUCAGCUUUAGCUGAUUUGACUGUAUCGGGUGAAUAAGCACCGGCUAACUCCGUGCCAGCAGCCGCGGUAAUACGGGGGGUGCGAGCGUUGUCCGGAAUCACUGGGCGUAAAGGGCGCGUAGGUGGCCUGAUAAGGGUGUGGUGAAAGUCCGGGGCUCAACCCCGGAUCUGCCGUGCCGACUGUCAGGCUAGAGUACUGUAGGGGCAGGCGGAAUUCCGGGUGUAGCGGUGGAAUGCGUAGAGAUCCGGAGGAAGACCGGUGGCGAAGGCGGCCUGCUGGGCAGUUACUGACACUGAGGCGCGACAGCGUGGGGAGCAAACAGGAUUAGAUACCCUGGUAGUCCACGCCGUAAACGAUGGGUACUAGGUGCCUGGGGGAGCGACCCCUUGGGUGCCGGCGCUAACGCAGGAAGUACCCCGCCUGGGGAGUACGGCCGCAAGGCUGAAACUCAAAGGAAUUGACGGGGGCCCGCACAAGCGGUGGAGCAUGUGGUUUAAUUCGACGCAACGCGAAGAACCUUACCUAGGCUUGACAUGCAUGGGAAACUCCUCAGAAACGAGGAGCCUCCUUCGGGAUCCAUGCACAGGUGCUGCACGGCUGUCGUCAGCUCGUGUC